rnacentral:rRNA from 1 species
UACAGAGACUGCAAGCGUUAUUCGGAUUCACUGGGCGUAAAGGGUGCGCAGGCGGUCGGGUGUGUCAGAUGUGAAAUCCCGAGGCUCAACCUCGGAACUGCGUCUGAAACUACUCGACUAGAGUACUGGAGAGGGUAACGGAAUUCACGGUGUAGCAGUGAAAUGCGUAGAUAUGCGGAGGAACACCGGUGGCGAAGGCGGGUCUCUGGGCCGAUACUGACGCUGAGGAGCGAAAGCGUGGGGAGCGAACAGG